UAUAUUUUAAUAUAUGAUGUAUAGAAAUUUUUGAUAUUUCCAGAAAUGGUUUAAUUCCAUUAAAUAUAA
rnacentral:tRNA from 1 species